rnacentral:tRNA from 3 species
GGCCCUAUAGCUCAGCGGUCAGAGCUGGCGGCUCAUAACCGCUUGGUCCAGGGUUCGAAUCCCUGUGGGGCCACCA